GAUGAACGCUAGCUACAGGCUUAACACAUGCAAGUCGAGGGGUAACGAGAGGAAAGCUUGCUUUCCUUGUCGACGACCGGCGCACGGGUGAGUAACGCGUAUCCAACCUGCCCCCAACUAGGGAAUAACCUUGCGAAAGUAAGACUAAUACCCUAUAAUUUCCUCAGAUGUCAUCUGACGAGGAAUAAAGAUUUAUCGGUUGUGGAUGGGGAUGCGUCUGAUUAGCUUGUUGGCGGGGUAACGGCCCACCAAGGCAACGAUCAGUAGGGGUUCUGAGAGGAAGGUCCCCAAACUUGGAACUGAGACACGGUCCAAACUCCUACGGGAGGCAGCAGUGAGGAAUAUUGGUCAAUGGGCUGAAGCCUGAACCAGCCAAGUAGCGUGCAGGAUGACGGCCCUAUGGGUUGUAAACUGCUUUUAUACAGGAAUAAAGUUAGCCACGUGUGGUUAUUUGUAGGUACUGUAUGAAUAAGGACCGGCUAAUUCCGUGCCAGCCGCCGCAGUAA
rnacentral:rRNA from 1 species